UUAAUCAAAACCAAAAAGAGGUAUUUCAUUGUUAAUGAAAUUAUUGAAGUAGUUAUUCUGAUUAAA
rnacentral:tRNA from 1 species